rnacentral:rRNA from 1 species
GACAGAGGUGCCGAGCGUUAGGCGGAAUCACUGGGCUUAAAGCGUGUGUAGGCGGGCGAUCAAGUACCUUGUGAAAUCCCACGGCUCAAUCGUGGAACCGCUGGGUAUACUGGUUGUCUUGAGCCGGCUAGGGGCGAGCGGAACAGACGGUGGAGCGGUGAAAUGCGUAGAUAUCGUCUGGAACGCCGAAGGUGAAAACAGCUCGCUGGGGCCGCGCUGACGCUGAGACACGAAAGCCAGGGGAGCGAACGGG